UCGUCUGCAGGUUUUUCGUUUCCGCACCAGCCCCGCGACUCAGAGUUUCCGGCUGCGGGUAGCGUAGGGGACUAGAGAUGCGUAGUUACUACCCCCUGCAGGAUGUGGGCAGAUGCCCACUCCCACGUUUCCCUCACUCACUCCCAGCCUAGCUUUGUGCUUUGACUUAACCUAAGUGAUGAGAUCGAUUAGGAAAGGAAUUGGAGACAAAACCAAGACACUAGCAUUUUCUGAGGUGUCCACAGGGUCGGUUUCUCUGAGCCCUCUCCUGGGCUUGCCUACGGCUGACUUCUCACUGUGGACUUUCCUCUGUGCCUGUGCACUCCUGGUGUCUCUUUCCUCUUCUUAUAAGGACACCAUUCCUAUCCUUGAGGAUAACACCCUUAUGACCUUAUUUAACCUUAAUCACCUCCUUAAGUGCUCUGUCUCCAAAUACAGCCACACUGGGGGUUAGGGCUUCCAGUGCAUGGGUUUUGCGAGGGGCACACAAUUCAGCCCAGAACAGUUGGGAACUAUCUUGUCACUAUCUGUGUUUUCCCAUAGCACCUAGCACAGCGCCUUGCAAAAUGGUAAAUCUAGGUUUUUGUUAACAAAGUGAUAGAACACCUGAUGGGAACUGGGAGAGGAGUUAUAAAGUCAUUUAAAUCUAUUGUCUUAGCUCAUCUUUGUUUAUAAAAUUUCUGAGCUCUAUUCUGGAAGGUCCUAGUUCCUGCUUGGAACUUCAGUCUCCAGGACAAUGGCACAGAGGAUUCUGAACAGUCUGCGGUAAGCGGUGUUGCCCCAGCAGGUGUCACAGUGGAUGUAGGAUCAUUGGAUGAUCACAGCAUGGCUUGGGGGCCUCCGUGGCUAUUCAUCUUGGUGAGCAGAGAUUGCAUUGCCACUUUGAAUGAUUGGACUAGAACAUCUGUCUUGGCAUCCUGUCCCCUUCAGAACCCACGCUGGAUUCUUUUUGGCUCAUAUGGCUAGUGGCUGCCGUAUUGAAGAGUGCAGCUCUUUUCUCCUCCUUGGAACAGAUGUGGCUGAAGGUAGGCAUUUCCAUGUUACCUCUGGAUCCUUAGCUGUACCCUCUCUUUCUGGGAAGCUGGAAGCAUGUACAUCAUCUACACAAAGUAGAUUCAGUAGUCUGAGCCAGACUGUGUACUCAAGCCUGGAUCUGCUCUCACAGGUCCCCAACUCCAGAGGUGGUUGUGAGCAAGAAUUCUCUCUCAUUGGCUUAUUUCCUCUUGUCAGAGGCCUCGACUUCUUAAUUUUGUUCGGGGAAAUAGAGUUUGGCAGCCUUUCCUUCCAGCCAGUUCCUGCCGCUUGGUACACAAGUACUGAUACCGAACCCAGUAUAUAAUCUAACACUCAUUAUUUUCCUGCUGCAAAGCUGAAGUUUCCUUUAUUUUAUGGGGUGCCACUUGCUUUCUUAUCAUUCCCAAUAGAACUUUGUUUUUACGUGCUGGGUAAGAAAUCACGGAACUGGUAAGGACAAGAAAAUAAUCAAAUCAAGAGAUUUGAUUAACAUGAGAGGGUCUAACAGCAGCAGUUUACUCGUGAGGAGAAGAGGUGUUGAAAUACUGGUAGGGGAGUUAGAAGGGACACAGAGAAGGGCAGACAGCUAAUAAAGCAGCUACCACGGAGAGUGAAUGUGCGUCAUCCCAUGGAAAGACUCUGAAAACAGUGUGAAACACAUGCUUCACAGAUGUUCCACCCUAGGGGAGAGGGAGACCUGGUAUUCGUCAAAAUCCCAUCAAGCGUGGUUGAGGGCUGCCCCCAGAGCAGUGGUCUUUCGUGGUUUUCGAAAAAGCCCGCAGCCCAGGAGACACAGAUGGUGCAAGUCGGAUGAAGCACACGGCAGGGGAAAGGCCGGGGGCAGGGGGCCAGGGCAGUAACAGCAUCUGCUCUGAACAUUGACUUUGAACUCUCAGUAGAACCUAGUAGCACACUAAUUUUAGUUUCUGGGUAAAUUUCGGUAAUUCUUAAUAUCUCAGUAGUACUAGUGGGUAGCCCUUACUUUAUUUUUAAAACGUCUAUAUAAUCUCAGGUGAUUUUUCAUUAUGAAACCAAGAAAGGCAUUCUUAAAUCGUUCACGAUCCAGAAGAUGGUCUCCAGCCUGGGGGACCACAGAGUAAAACUUCUAUGCCUUCCAUCUGCCUUGACUUAACUCGGGGAAAUGAAGGUAAAGGGACCCAGGGAGACUGGACACAACAACCUAUGACAUUUCUAUUAAGUAACUUUUUUUUUUAAAUUUAAAUCCAGUUUUAUUGUU